AUGGGGUUCGUGGUGACCUCCGCCAUCUUCUUCCUCGCCGGCUUCAUCGCCUGCCUCUUCUCGCUCCUCUGCUGCAACCGCGGCGCCUCCACCAACAUAUUCCAUUUGACUCUGGUUAUUACCGCUACAGUUUGUUGUUGGAUGAUGUGGGCAAUCGUGUACCUCGCCCAGAUGAAGCCUUUGAUCAACCCCAUCCUGAGCGGCGAGUGA
rnacentral:rRNA from 1 species